rnacentral:tRNA from 1 species
AGCAGAGUGGCGCAGCGGAAGCGUGCUGGGCCCAUAACCCAGAGGUCGGAUGAUCGAAACCAGCCUCUGCUA